rnacentral:tRNA from 1 species
GAUCCCGUAGCUCAAUUGGAUAGAGCGUCAGCCUCCGGAGCUGAAGGUUACUGGUUCGAACCCAGUCGGGGUCGCCA